GAUGAACGCUGGCGGCGUGCCUAAUACAUGCAAGUCGAGCGAACGGACGAGAAGCUUGCUUCUCUGAUGUUAGCGGCGGACGGGUGAGUAACACGUGGAUAACCUACCUAUAAGACUGGGAUAACUUCGGGAAACCGGAGCUAAUACCGGAUGAUAUUUUGAACCGCAUGGUUCAAAAGUGAAAGACGGUCUUGCUGUCACUUAUAGGUGGAUCCGCGCUGCAUUAGCUAGUUGGUAAGGUAACGGCUUACCAAGGAAACGAUGCAUAGCCGACCUGAGAGGGUGAUCGGCCACACUGGAACUGAGACACGGUCCAGACUCCUACGGGAGGCAGCAGUAGGGAAUCUUCCGCAAUGGGCGAAAGCCUGACGGAGCAACGCCGCGUGAGUGAUGAAGGUCUUCGGAUCGUAAAACUCUGUUAUUAGGGAAGAACAUAUGUGUAAGUAACUGUGCACAUCUUGACGGUACCUAAUCAGAAAGCCACGGCUAACUACGUG
rnacentral:rRNA from 1 species